CAAUUAAUAAUGACGCCCAACACGCUUGUCACACGUUGUUUCUUAACAACGUUUUCCACUCGGAUUAGACUUCCUAUCAAACUAUUGUUCUUUGUUCGAUCUACUUUUAUCCUACUAUACCAACCAUUAGGCAUCAAAUUAAACUAUCAAUUCAUUUUCUCCGUUUACCUUUUCUUCUGCUCCGGCAUCUCCAAAAGCUGCAACCAAGAAGAGUAACAAAAAAGCUUCCUUUUUUUUUUUUUUUAAGGUUGAGAAAAAGUAUGGGUCGUCACCACCACCACCACCACCACCCUCACCCGCACCACCACCAUCACCACCACGAAGGCGGCCGUCCGUACGAUGAUCCAAUCCUCGCAUGUUGUUGCUGCCCAUGUUUCCUAGUAUCCUCAGUGUUCUCUGUGUUCAGGAGAUGUCUGUUUGUUGCCUGUUAUCCUGUGCUGCAAUGCUUUGGGUGGGAUGAACAUAGGCACCACCACCACCAUAGGCAUUUCUAAUAGCUUUUAGCUUCGCCCACUUAAAGCCCGCCAGGUCACGGUAAUAUAUCCUUCCAUUAUUCUGUUCAUCCACUUAAAGUCUGCCGCUCACCGUAAUUUAUUCCUCAAUUAUUCUGUUACACGAUGGUCCUGACUCCUGAAUGGAAAGAAUUUCGUCUUGGUGGACAAACGUAGCUUUUAGGGUUUAGCUUCAUCUUCCAUUUUUUUUAGUUUCUAAACUUGUGAUUCAUUUCAACCAAGACAAUCUUGAGUGUUGAAUGAAAACAAAAAAUUGAAACAUGUAGUCUAUAUUUUCUGGUGUAUUUGAAUGAUGAAUGAUGAUUUGAUUGUUGUAAUCUAUGGUGAAUUUUUAGUAAUUUUGCUAAUUUUGAGGUCAAAGGGAAGAUGACGACCACUUCUUGGUGCCA